UUGGAACGAAGAUGAACUUGGAGACGGACACUGUUCAGUCCUCAGUGAUGUACGCACUACUACUCAUAGUAUGUUUGUACAGCGUACUUUAUGCGUAUGCAAGUCCAAAAUGAAAAUGUUGGUAUACGAAACGAGAGCCAGACGGAGCGAAAACAACAAAUGAAAAAACAACACAAAUACCGGCAGGUUGGAUUGGAUCAUCAACACAUGCCACACCACGUCAUCGUGCUUAACUUAACUUAACAACACAUCGACCGGUCACGCGCCGAACUCAACAAAUCUCAAGCAGAUUUAACUCCGCGCCGACAACUGCAGCAGAGCCGAAGCCUUUAACUCCGCGCCGACAACUGCAGCAGAGCCGAAGCCUUUCCACGACACCCACCAACAUUAACGCUCAUGUAGUCGCCGAAACCUCCAGACCCCUGACCCCUGCGUUGAUAGGGAACCAAUAGAAACAGAUUGUUGUGGCGUCC
rnacentral:lncRNA from 1 species